rnacentral:rRNA from 1 species
AAGGUUUCCGUAGGUGAACCUGCGGAAGGAUCAUUGUCGUAACCUGC